CCAGAAAAUCGAAUCAAGCUUAUGGGACACUGGAUUACAGGUUGCUGCCACUACUCCAUGUGCCCGCAAUUGUCUUGCGUGUAUGAUUACACUAACGACGUCGCCCACCACGGCGGAAGUGUUUUGCGUACACGCGUUUCAGCAUGAAGCCUGCAGGUGGACGUAAAUUGUAGAAGGCAGCUAGUGGGGGAGAAGAUCAUGGUCAUAGGUCAUAUGGCUCCUGGAGCUCCCAGUGGGCUCCCUUGUGGAGUACUUUUCAGAACACACACACAGUUCGCUCACAGAACCAACGAGUAGGAUGUUGCUUGAAUACUGAGAGAAAAUGGCGUAACACAUACAAAUAUCGUGUGACACAUAUGACAAUAAAAACAUUUUUCACGAGGGAUGCAUGAAACACUGUCACAAUAUUGUGUGCAUGAACCAUUGUGUGUGACACAAGCCGU